rfam:Schistosoma rodhaini strain Burundi genome assembly, scaffold: SROB_scaffold0005425
UUGCUUUGGAGGUAUAUAUACUAAAAUUGAAACGAUUCAGAGAUUAUCAUGACUCCUGAGCAAGGGUGGCAUGCAAAGUUGUGAAGCGUUCUAAAUAUUU